rnacentral:pre_miRNA from 2 species
GGCUCAGUAGCCAGUGUAGAUCCUGUCUUUGGUAAUCAGCAGCUACAUCUGGCUACUGGGUCUC